UAGUGCUGCCCCCUGAUGGUCCGGCCAGGAACCCUCCAGGAGAUCACAGAGUUUGUUUCACUUUUAAUCGCUCAUUGUGAAACAGAGAAACAUAAUAAAGUAUACUUUUAUUUGAUUUUAUUAAUACAAUGGGUAUAAUUUAAUAUGUGGUUGCAACUCUCCGAAGCACAAGAUGGCGGUGCUGCGCUUUAAACGGUGAAACCAACCGCCGUAAUGAGGAGGAGGACAGAAGGAGCUAAACAAAACAAAACAAAACAAAACAAACAAACUGAACUGUGACUUCAGCGGGUUGAAUCUGGCUUAAACAAGAGGAUGGCGACCUUCAGCAGACGGGCUCUGGACAGGACCUACUCUGUGGUGUUGCUGGCUGUCGUGGUCUUGUCCUGGUCUUAUGUGAUCUACGCCAGCAGGAUCGCAUCUUAUUGGCUGUUGGAGAAGAGGACCGCCCUCCUCCUGCAAAACUGACAGCUCGUUGUAUAGGGUGAUCAAUCCUCUUACAGACUGAGAGACUCAACCUGACAAACCUGUGGAGGCUGGCCGUUCUGAAGCACAUUGGUAAAACACCUCAGUAGUGGACUGAAGCCCCGUGACGUCUGAAAGCCACCCGCCUGAACAGGAACGAUGGGAGAAGAACAAUGAAAUCGCUGCACUGAGACGGGACAGUCUGCUGUGUGGGAAAAUGACACAAGCAAUUAUGGGUACAGUAUUUGUUGUUGGUCGUUCAGCAGCUAGAGGUGGGCGGAUAAAGCCUCAUGAAAUGUGUUUGUGCAGAAAAAAGAUUUGGUGUUCCGACGUCUGCUGGUUUGUAGUCCAAGAAGCCUGCGUGAUAUUUAUUAUAUAUUCCUAAUACUUCACUUGAGAAGCGAUUAAUGGAUAAGUUCUAGAGCUGCAACUGAUUGAAUAAUCGAUUUAGUUGUCAACUUUUAAAUUAAUUGUCAACUAUUUCCAUAAUUGAUACACAGUCAGAGAGAGAGAAAGAGAUUAUUAUUAUUAUUAUUAUUAUUAUUAUUAUUGUUCCAUCAACAAAAAAAUCCCACAAUCACCCAAGGAAGAGAUUCAGGAGGCAUAACUGAGACAGUCCAUUACAGUUAUUAACAAAGAAGAAUCUUAUAUAUGGCUGAAAAUUAACAAAAAGAGAAUUUGUGCUGUGCAACAUGUCUACAUGUGUGCCAUCUACAUACCUUCUUCAGAAUCCCCCUAAUACUACCCAGAUAUUUUUUCUAGCUUUUUUUUCUUGCACGAACAGGGGAAAGAGCUGAGACUAUGAACACCCAGGGAGACAAACACUUAACUGGAAGCACCUGCUUCGCCCUACCUGAAUACAAGUGGUAUGCAGCUUUUACAGCUCUGCCGUACGCUGAGUCUGUACAUAGUCAACGGCAGGCUACAAGGGGAAUCUCUGGGUCGCUACACUUACAGCUCAGCUCUUGGCAGCAGUACGGUAGAUUAUUUCAUUACAGAUCUAGAUCCAAUGUCUCUCAGAGCUUUCACAGUCAGCCCCCUCACACCCCUCUCAGACCACAGCAAAAUCACUAUAUCUGAAAAGGGUGCAGUCUAACUCUGGAGCCCCCAGUGCCUGUGAACUGUUUAACAGCACAUACUCCUACAGAUGGACCCCAGACAACAUGGGGGCGUACCAAAAGGCACUGGAAAAUCAAAAUAUACAUGAUUUAACUAAUUUAUUUCUAACUGAACCAUUUCCCCAUAAUAAUUCUGAGAGUUUUGAAACGAAAAACGGGGUCAGCAGUGUUUUCAAACUUCAAUUUUUUAGGUCUUCGUUUUUGCCAUUUCAGUCUGGACAGGAGGUGCAAACGUAGCAAUUGGUCUCCCUUUUAAAACGAACAUUCAGUAGUGUGGAUGGGGCCUGUCAGACCUGGGCCCUGACAGUAAACACUAAAAUAAUGAUCUCUCAGAAACAAUCCAGAAAUCAGGUUAACACACACAAUUUAUAGUUAGACACCACUAAACAUACAAAAAACUUCACUUACCUUGGCCUCAACAUUACAUACACAGGAAACCUCAACAUGGCUGUGAAAGAUCUGAGGGACAAAGCAAGGAGAGCUUUCUAUGCAAUAAAAAAGAAACAGUGAAUUCCAAAUUCCAGUUGAAAUCUGGCUUAAAACUUUCCAAUUUUUACUAGAACCAAUAAUUCUAUAUGGCAGCGAAAUGUGGGGGCCAAAACGAAAUAAUGAAUUUGACAAAUGGGACAAAACGAUCUGAAUCUUUCCAUACCGAGUUCUGUAAGAGCAUCCUGCAGGUGCAGAGAAAAACACCAAAUAACCUGUGCAGAGAGACAUAUCAUCACAAAGCCCUAACAUACCAGGAGCUGAAACCAGAGAAGAGUCCCCUCA